rnacentral:rRNA from 1 species
UACGAAGGGGGCUAGCGUUGUUCGGAAUUACUGGGCGUAAAGCGCGCGCAGGCGGUCCUUCAAGUCAGAGGUGAAAGCCCAGAGCUCAACUCUGGAACGGCCUUUGAGACUAGAGGACUUGGGUACGGGAGAGGUGAGUGGAAUUCCGAGUGUAGAGGGUGAAAUUCGUAGAUAUUCGGAAAGAACACCAGUGGCGAAGGCGGCUCACUGGCCCGUUACCG